rnacentral:rRNA from 1 species
GACGAACGCUGGCGGCGUGCUUAACACAUGCAAGUCGAACGGUAAGGCCCUUCGGGGUACACGAGUGGCGAACGGGUGUGUAACACGUGGGUAAUCUGCCCUGCACUUCGGGAUAAGCCUGGGAAACUGGGUCUAAUACCGGAUAUUCAGUUCCUGCCGCAUGGUGGGGGUUGGAAAGUUUUUCGGUGCAGGAUGAGCCCGCGGCCUAUCAGCUUGUUGGUGGGGUAAUGGCCUACCAAGGCGACGACGGGUAGCCGGCCUGAGAGGGUGAUCGGCCACACUGGGACUGAGACACGGCCCAGACUCCUACGGGAGGCAGCAGUGGGGAAUAUUGCACAAUGGGCGAAAGCCUGAUGCAGCGACGCCGCGUGAGGGAUGACGGUCUUCGGAUUGUAAACCCCUUUCAGUAGGGACGAAGCGCAAGUGACGGUACCUGCAGAAGAAGCACCGGCCAACUACGUG